AUUGAACGCUGGCGGCAGGCCUAACACAUGCAAGUCGAGCGGAGCGGCGGACGGGGGAGUAAGUCCUAGGAAUCUGCCUGGUAGUGGGGAUAACGUCCGGAAACGGACGCUAAUACCGCAUACUAUCAGAUGAGCCUAGGUGGGAUUAGCUAGUUGGUGGGGUAAAGGCCUACCAAGGCGACGAACCGUAACUGGUCUGAGAGGAUGAGCAGUCACACUGGAACUGAGACACGGUCCAGAUUCCUACGGUAGGCAGCAGUGGGGAAUAUGGGACAAUGGGCGAAAUCCUGAUCCAUCCAUGCCGCGGGUGUGAAGAAGGUCUUCGGAUUGUAAAGCACUUGAAGUUGGGAGGCGUUACCUACAGAAUAAGCACCGGCUAACUUCGUGCCAGCAGCCGCGGUAAUAC
rnacentral:rRNA from 1 species